rnacentral:misc_RNA from 1 species
CUGCCCUCCAGCGCGUCUGGGUAUUGGGUGCUGUCCCUCAUGGGACACGCCCGAAAGGCAGUGGCGGCGCCGCGUCGGUCCUCGAGCGUAUGGAGCUUUGUCACCUGCUCGGGAGGGACUUGCGGGCGUCAGUCUUCUCUUGACCGGCCUCUCUGGGGCCUGGUCUUCUAU